rnacentral:rRNA from 1 species
UACGUAGGUGGCGAGCGUUGUCCGGAAUUACUGGGUGUAAAGCGCGUGUAGGCGGGAGGCCAAGUCUGUGGUGAAAUCGCUCGGCUUAACUGGGCGGGGUCCAUGGAAACUGGUCACCUGGAGGUCGGUAGAGGCAAGUGGAAUUCCCGGUGUAGUGGUGAAAUGCGUAGAGAUCCGGAAGAACACCGGUGGCGAAGGCGGCCUGCUGGGCAGUAGCUGACGCUGAUGCGCGACAGCGUGGGGAGCAAACAGG